UACGUAGGGUGCAAGCGUUACUCGGAAUUACUGGGCGUAAAGCGUGCGCAGGCGGUUGUGCAAGACAGAUGUGAAAUCCCCGGGCUCAACCUGGGAACUGCAUUUGUGACUGCACGGCUGGAGUGCGGCAGAGGGGGAUGGAAUUCCGCGUGUAGCAGUGAAAUGCGUAGAUAUCUGGAGGAACACCGGUGGCGAAGGCGGCAUCCUGGACCGGCAUUGACGCUGAGGCGCGAAAGCCAGGGGAGCAAACGGG
rnacentral:rRNA from 1 species